rnacentral:rRNA from 1 species
AGUGAACGCUGGCGGCAGGCCUAACACAUGGAAGACGAACGGCAGCACAGGGGAGCUUGCUCCCUGGGUGGCGAGUGGCGGACGGGUGAGGAAUACAUCGGAAUCUGCCCUAUCGUGGGGGAUAACGUAGGGAAACUUACGCUAAUACCGCAUAAGACCUUCGGGUGAAAGCAGGGGAUCUUCGGACCUUGCGCGAUUGGAUGAGCCGAUGUCGGAUUAGCUAGUUGGCGGGGUAAAGGCCCACCAAGGCGACGAUCCGUAGCUGGUCUGAGAGGAUGAUCAGCCACACUGGAACUGAGACACGGUCCAGACCCCUACGGGAGGCAGCAGUGGGGAAUAUUGGACAAUGGGCGCAAGCCUGGUCCAGCCAUGCCGCGUGGGUGAAGAAGGCCUUCGGGUUGUAAAGCCCUUUUGUUGGGAAAGAAAACUUUCCGGUUAAUACCCGGAGAGAAUGACGGUACCCAAAGAAUAAGCACCGGCUAACUUCGUGCCAGCAGCCGCGGUAAUACGAAGGGUGCAAGCGUUACUCGGAAUUACUGGGCGUAAAGCGUGCGUAGGUGGUUCGUUAAGUCUGAUGUGAAAGCCCUGGGCUCAACCUGGGAAUUGCAUUGGAUACUGGCGGGCUAGAGUGCGCUAGAGGGUAGUGGAAUUCCUGGUGUAGCAGUGAAAUGCGUAGAGAUCAGGAGGAACAUCCGUGGCGAAGGCGACUGUCUGGACCAGCACUGACACUGAGGCACGAAAGCGUGCGCAGCAAACAGGAUUAGAUACCCUGGUAGUCCACGCCCUAAACGAUGCGAACUGGAUGUUGGGUGCACUUU